rnacentral:rRNA from 1 species
UUGAAUGGCCGCGGUAUUUUGACUGUGCUAAGGUAGCAUAAUCAUUAGUUUUUUAAUUAAAAGCUGGAAUGAAGGGUUGAAUGAAAAAAUAACUGUCUUAAAUUGAAUUAUUUUGAAUUUUAUUUUUAAGUUAAAAAGCUUAAAUGUUUUUAAAAGACGAGAAGACCCUAUAGAGUUUAAUUUUUAUAAGUUAAUUUUUUAUUUAGAAUUAAUCCAAGAUUGAAAUUUAAAAUUUUAAUUGGGGUGAUUAUAAAAUUUAAUUAACUUUUUUUGUAUAUAAAUAUUCAUAGAUAAAUUUUUGAUCCAAUAAUUUUGAUUAAAAGAUUAAUUACCUCAAGGAUAACAGGGUAAUUUUAUAUUAGAGUU